UAAAAGGUGUUCCAUCAAAACAAAUAGUUUAGGUAUUCCCUGCCUGGGAAACUGGCGCGACAAGAUACAGGUGACCAGACACUAAUCUGGAUCACAAGCAUCACAAAUCCAAAAUAACAUACAUGACAAGAUUUUGUUGUCACUAGUUGACAGUGCGACAAACCAGAUAAAAGUGAGAUAACCAUGUGUGUACAUAUUCUCAAACUUAUUUUCCAUCAAACAUCCAUAGUUACUCCCCGGAUAACUAAUCCAUAGGUAUGAUCUUCUGCAAAAUCCAUUGCAGAACUUUCAAGCGGAUACGUUAACUGCCAAGAUAUCUACUUUAGACAUUUAAUAGUUGGACACUGCUCAUCAUGACAUGUAGAAGAACUUCAUAAGAGUGAUCUACUAUCAGAUAGAUAGACUAGCUUCUCAUUCAUUGACUGCAACCAGCAAUCCACCAAAAUCUGACAUACCAACCAUGCAAGCCAUCCAACCAUGCAAGGUUCUUACUUCCAAAGCUUCCAAUUGCUGCACCUACUGACCUCAGUCUAACUCGUCCAGUCUGGAGAGCUAGGCACAAACUGCUCGACAGCAAGUGCCUGCAACACUCCAAGACCAUCCAUGCUGCAAGAAAAACUUAAUAACCUUGGCCAUACUGCAAAUAUGAUGGUUGAACAUCCUAGCAACAGGCCGCUGGACAUCGUCACAGUAACUGUUAACAACCAUCUAUUCUCUCGUAUCCAUAUCACACGAAGAAACGGCAUUCCCACAGAGACUGUCCUUGAUGCUGCUGAGGCAGUGCAACAGAUUGUUGAUUCACACUCUUGAGUUGCUGAGGUUGCUCAUGGUACAGUUUUAAUUGUUCAGAUAUCUGGUAGUCCUCCCGACCUUUCUGAUUCCCUGAUUGUACACGCAGGGGGUUUACCUGUUUCCCAGGGAAAGGAAAACUUGCCAUCCCAACUGAGCUACUGCUCUUGCUCACGGAGACGUAGUUUUGUGUUGAAUGAUUAAUGGAGUUAUUGAAACCAGUGCUCUGAUUUGAUGAAGACAGCUGAUAUCCAUCCAGCCAGCCAUAGUCAUCCAUAGGAGGAAGAGAAUGUUCAUUCUUUAUAGUUAUGGCUGAUGAAGAUUCAUCCACGACUUUGGAAGGAACAUAACCAAAGCCUGGAGGUGGACCCAGAUGCCUAAGAGGUCUGCUGACUGGAUUUUUCUUUAUACCUGUUGACGUGACUGACGGAGACUUUACUGACAUGCUGUCCAUACCAGCUACUGAGGAUGAAAGUGAACUGAAGUUAGAUGGUAUAGCAGCAUCUGGAACCUGCGCAGGAAUGCUAUUUGCUAUGCUAAAAUUGACAGACUGUGGAAAAGGGAUCGAAUAUGUUGCAGGUGGAAAUACUCCUGAACGAUCUUGCAACUCAGAUUUUAUAGUUCGAUCAUUUCCUAUCAAGUUCAAGCUAGCCAAUCCAUUCAUAACAGCAUCCUGUUGAACGGACCACAAUGAAGUAUUUGGUUGAAUAGGCUGCAUAUAUUGGCCACUGUUAUUAGCAAUAGUUGAGGGAGGCCUUACACUUGCAUGUAAAGCACUCGGCGUGAUCAAUCCAUCAAGUGCAGCUGAAAACGGGCCCAUCUCAUUUCCUAGACCAUCAGAGGUUAUGCUAAUGCGAGGAGGAACAUUGGCAGCACCAACAUAUGAAACAGGAACUUCCGUGGCCAUCAUGUUUGAAGUGCUUCCAUUCACAUGCUUUUCUGCUGCGGAUGGCUUAAAGACAAUUACCUCAUCUUCUUCCUCACACUCCACAUACAAUUGUUGCUUAGGCUGCAGAGCUCCUACAGUUAACUGCCCUGCAGCUGGAUUCACCAGCCCAAUACCACUUAAUUUGGGAACUUCCAUUGUGCAACCAUGUACAUAAUCACCAGACACUUGGGGCUCAAUGCCAAUGAUGAAUUUCUUUGCCGUACUGUUAAAAUAUAUUCCCUCUUCUCCAACACGGACCACACUAGCAAGGGCCUUUCCUGCAGCUAUUAUCCUCUGGAGACGUGAUUUCUUCUCUUUGAUGCCACCAUCACCACCAAAAGAAUGCUUCCUUGAAAAAUCAAGGAUAAGUUGUGCCGGAAGAAGAGGUAGAAACCCUCUCAGUUCGAAAUCCUCAGGCAAUGCAAGACGAUUGCCGCUUUCUUCUUCAUCAUACCUGCUCAUAUUGAAAAAGCAUGUUUCAUCCUUGUCGUCAUCAACAAACUUGAACCCACUGGACAUUAGCUUAUUAAAGAAAGCAAUACAGUUCUUCCAGAAAAAUGAUCUAGCUGUCGUUUGUUUCUCUUCUGGUUCAUUGCCAAGCGCAACAUCUUGAUGGCAUGCCAACCACUCAACAAACACCAAAACACCAGGCAAAAGGAAGCUUGUGGUGGGAUCACUUAGUUGGACACAUCUCUCAACAACAUGACCCAUGAACUCAAAAACAGCAGUAAACGAAUUCUGUAGAAGAACAGAUCUCUGUAAAAUCUCAGCAUAAGACUUAUUUUCACUUUCCCUGUUCACAUUAUGAACAGUGAAUAUCAGGAUACCCACAAUCCUCACAAUAGCCAGUCUACAGUCGGC
rnacentral:misc_RNA from 1 species